UCGAGUACUCGGGCUAAAACAAUCGGUGCAGUUUGUCAUGAUCUUUGAGCGGGAACAUUAUAAACGCACAUUGUGCACUUACUUUGAGUUUUAUAUCUCAUUUCAUUCAAUAAUGAUUGAUUAUAUCCCCUACUUAUUUUUAACAGUAUAUUAUAAUUAUACGACAGCAGUCCGCGUUUUCACUACGUCCUGGUACGUAUCUACACCGAGUCCGGUUUUCAGCACUUUCGUUCACUUCCUCCUGAUAAACAAGACUGGCGAAGUUGCAGCUGUUGUUGUUUCUGUAGAUGUUUGUUUGUAUUUAAAAAUAUGUAUCAACACAUCUGAGUGCGCAUUAUUUCAGAAAGUCCAAAAUGUAAUGGUCUUAACGCUCACAUGGGAAACCUUGGUCUAGGUUUGCCUCGGCGUUUUUUCCUCUCUGGCUACGCCCCAGCACACUAAGGGAAAGGGUGACUCCAACCAAAGUUCUCAUCCAUUGUGUGAUGAAAUCAACGUGUCACUGGCGGUCAAUCUCAUAUUAUUCUAGAAUUAGCUUUUUGGUGAAUUUAUUAUAAUUAUACUGAUGCAGAAAAAUAUGGAAACAGUUCCAUUUCGUAUCGUGUUUAUGUCCCGAGUGAAAUUAUUUUGAAUUGUUACGAGCUUUAGCGAAUGACAAUGAACAUUAUUUUACGAGGGAAAUAAACAUGAUACGAAUUG
rnacentral:misc_RNA from 1 species